CGUUAGCGGCGGACGGGUGAGUAACACGUGGGUAACCUACCUAUAAGACUGGGAUAACUUCGGGAAACCGGAGCUAAUACCGGAUAAUAUUUCGAACCGCAUGGUUCGAUAGUGAAAGANGGUUUUGCUAUCACUUAUAGAUGGACCUGCGCCGUAUUAGCUAGUUGGUAAGGUAACGGCUUACCAAGGCGACGAUACGUAGCCGACCUGAGAGGGUGAUCGGCCACACUGGAACUGAGACACGGUCCAGACUCCUACGGGAGGCAGCAGCU
rnacentral:rRNA from 1 species